AGUGUAGGCGGUUGCCUAAGUCGGAUGUGAAAGCCCCGGGCUUAACCUGGGAAUUGCAUUCGAUACUGGGUGGCUAGAGUUUGGUAGAGGUAAGUGGAAUUCCGGGUGUAGCGGUGAAAUGCGUAGAUAUCCGGAGGAACAUCAGUGGCGAAGGCGGCUUACUGGACCAAAACUGACGCUGAGGCUCGAAGGCGUGGGUAGCAAACA
rnacentral:rRNA from 1 species